rnacentral:rRNA from 1 species
GGACGAACGCUGGCGGCGUGCUUAACACAUGCAAGUCGAACGAUGAACCGGUUUCGGCCGGGGAUUAGUGGCGAACGGGUGAGUAACACGUGGGCAAUCUGCCCUGCACUCUGGGAUAAGCCCGGGAAACUGGGUCUAAUACCGGAUACGACACUCCGAGGCAUCUUGGGGUGUGGAAAGUUCCGGCGGUGCAGGAUGAGCCCGCGGCCUAUCAGCUUGUUGGUGGGGUAAUGGCCUACCAAGGCGACGACGGGUAGCCGGCCUGAGAGGGUGACCGGCCACACUGGGACUGAGACACGGCCCAGACUCCUACGGGAGGCAGCAGUGGGGAAUAUUGCACAAUGGGCGAAAGCCUGAUGCAGCGACGCCGCGUGAGGGAUGACGGCCUUCGGGUUGUAAACCUCUUUCAGCAGGGAAGAAGCGAAAGUGACGGUACCUGCAGAAGAAGCACCGGCUAACUACGUG